GAUUGUGGGUACCAAAAUGGAAUCUAGUGUCACUGAAGAGGCUCAAAAGGGAAAAAGAACUUGGUCUCCAAGCAGAAGGAAAUGGCCCAACUCUCUGCCGAGUGACCUGGUCUUUCCUGGAUCUGAGCUCCGAAGCCAGGAGGCGAAGGGCCCAUGUUGUGCCACCUCAGCUCCUGAUCCCAAGACCAAGGAGCUGCCAGACCUGCGUCAGCUUCUCACUGUCGGUGUGAUUUGCCACUGUGUGACUCUUGGAAAAGAAAAUCCAACGAUUUUGAUGAUUCGAGAAAGCAGAAGGCCCAACCUUCAGUAAAACCACAGGUCUCCGGGAGUCGGCUUUGGCAUUCUCUUGCAAACACAGGUUUACUGAGCACAGGGCCUCCGUCUCGUCUCGGAGAGAAUACAAACUCUCUGGGGUGUUCUUCCCCAGAGUAGUGGAGGGCUGAGGAGGGUCAGAGGGUGACGCCACAGCAUCCAACUUGCAAAGCUAGACCAGGGGGCUUCCCAAGGUUUUGGGGACAUUUCAAGUUGGUGACCUCUGAUUAGAAGAGAUGACAAUGUUUGUGUCUGUCAGCACCAAUGCCAGGAUCCGGAACAGGACAAGGACUGGGCAGGGGUAACCUUGGGGCCACCUGCUUGAUGCUUCCUGGUUUCAUCAGGAGGAAGCCACGGAAAUGCCCUAUCCCAGGAAUUGCCUGUUUGCUCCUCAGAAUCCAACCGCUUCAGUGGGUGUGAAUGGCUGCAUGCCCACCCUAGCCUGCUUGGACACCCACCCAGCCAUUCUCAGGUGAAGGUCCGCGACCCGCUGUCUCUGCCCAGUGAUGGAACUCUAAGCGGGAGGCCUCUCUUGUCUCUUACACCCCAUCACUAAGAACAGAACUGGCACCAGAGGGUAUACACCACAGAUGUAAAUUCAGUCAUGGAGUGGGUGAGAUAGAUGCCUUUCCUUCUAUCUGCCUGGACACUGGGUAGGGACAAGGAUGCCAUGAGCUAAGAAGAAGCACCCUGGAAUAAGGAACAGAGGUACGGAGGCUUCACCACUUCUUAGAGACUCUUACGAUAUUAUUCAUGAUGCUGUAAGUCUGAAGAAGCAUCAGCAGGUUUUUGUUUUUGUUUUUUGUUUUUUUACAUACUAGUCGUACACAAUGUAAGUGUGCUCUUCUGAACAACUAAUAAGCCAUUUAGGGGAGAUAACUUAAUCUGUCAACUGUCUGCUGUAUAAAUAAAGACCCGUGUUUGAUUCCUAGAACUCACAGAAAAGCCAGGUGUGGUAGCAAGCAUUUGUAAUUCCAGUACUGAGGAUUCCUGGCUGGCCAGCCAGCUCUCUUAGUAGGUGGCAGGCCAGUGAGAGACCCUGUCUCAAAAGAAAAGGUGGAUCCAGCUGGAGAACGAUACAACACCUAAAAUUGUUCUCCAGCCUGUACACACACUCAGUCACCAACAUACACUUAACACACACAUACACAAACACUCAUGCACACAGGCAUACAUGGAAACCAAUAGACACAAAAGGCAGUGGUGGCACACACUUCUAAUUCCAGCACUUAGGAGGCAGAGGCAGGUGGAUGAUGUCUGAGUUCAAGGCCAACCUGGUCUACAGAACAAGUUCCUGGACAGCCAAGGCUGUUACACAAGGAACCCCUGUCUCGAAAAAACUAAAAAAUAAAAUAAAAUAAAAUAAAAUAAAAUCUUAACAUUAAAAAACAUGAUCUAUGAUGGCUCUUGGUUGUCAACUUUACUACAUCUGGAAUGAACUAAGACCCAAGGUGGCUGGGUACGAUUAUAGGGAAUUUUAAUUUAAUCUUGAGUGUCUCUUCCACAAAAUAUCAUUGACUCACUAAAUGAACAGGAGGCAGCAACUUUGGACUUAUUGGUAACAUAUAUGUGCAUCAGUGAAAUUCUUAUGAGUCCAGUCAUGUGGACAUACAGAUGUUCCUUCUAAGAUGAAGGGUAAGUUAUUGCACCUGGCCCCUCCAACCACCAACAAGAAGCUUAUUUAGUGGGCCUAUUUGGAUUUUGGAGACAGCACAUUCCUUACUUGGGUGUGUUACUCAGGCCCAUAUAUCAAGUGACUCCAAAAGCUGUUAGCUUAGAAUGGGGUCUUAGACAGGAAAAGUCUCUUCAGCAAUUUUGGAUUUUGGAGCAAGGCUCUAUCAUCAUCUGCAGACAACUGUUCUUUCUUCUAGAGACAGCUCGUGGUCUGCUGUUAGGCAUUACUGGAAACUGCACUUUUGAGAAUGGACCACCAAGUUACCACGCAACCUGAGCUGCCCAUCAUGAGCUGGGUGUUAUCUGACUCACCAGGUCAUAAAGUAGGACAUGCACAGCAGCAAUCCAUUAUCAAACGGAAGAGGUAUAUAAAGAUUGGACCAGAGCAGGUUCUGAAGGCACAAGGAAGUUACAUGAAGAAGCUGCCCAAACACCUGUAACUCCCAUUAUAAUGCUGUCUGCUCCCAAGCAUGCACCUGCAUCCUCAUGGGGAAAUUGGGUUGCUUCAUCACAGUGAGCGUAAGGAAGAUUGUGAUGUCUGGAGUGCAGACAUCCUUUAGGGUGUCUCUGUGCUACCAUGUCCUGUGAUUAAAAUCAAUGGGAAACUACAACUUAAUCCAGGCAGGAUGACAAGGGGCAGAGACCCAGCAGGAAUAAAGAUAUGGGUCACUAAUCCAGGAAAAGAGACAAGAUCUGCUGAGGUACUUGCUGAAAGGGAAGGAAAUACAAAAUGGGUAGUAGAAAAACGUAGUUCUAAAUACCAGCGAGGGCCACGUGACCAGUUGCAGAAGUAGAUGGAGAUUAUAAUUGACAUGAGUGUUUCUGUUGUAUCUUGUUAAGAAUGUAUCUGUGCAGAUAUUUGUGUUUUAUUUCCUCAAUUUCUUUAUCAUGUAAUGAAGAUCAAUUAAAAGAACAUCAUUAGUUAUCCUAUUUAAGUUGGAGAUGCUAAAAUAAUGUCCCUCAAGGAAUAGUGCCAUCUAUUCUAAAAUGUUUAAUGCAUUAGCCAUUGUACAACAGAAGGAUGGUUAUAGCACAGGAGGCAUGGUUUUCAUCGGGUUAAAAAUAUGAGUUUAUGAGUGUAUGUGGGAUAUUUGUAUCAUGUUGAUAUGAUUAUGACCUUGUUAUUGUUUUUAUUUGGAAAUUAAAGAUGAUAUAAGG
ensembl:lincRNA Gm805 predicted gene 805